GUCCCUGUAGCGCAAUGGAUAGCGCGUUGGACUUUUAAUCCGUAGGUCGUGUGUUCGAGUCUCACCUGGGACG